GCAGGAUACAGAGCUUCCCUUCGGAAUACUUUACAUCUGACUGCUUGCUGCAUGUGUGUUCUUAAUAGAACACGCUGCUGCAAAGAGAUGCAGAGAGAAAUGGGAAAUGAUGCUGUGCUCGGACGGGCGUGAGCUUGACAACACGCAUGAUGAUUGGAAAGAGUCGGUCGGACGGAAGGGAGUGAGGCAUAGGGGGGGGGGGGGGGGGAAGGGAAUGGACUGACAAAGCAAAUGAUGGGCCCCGGGAUCCGGGUGGCAGGGGGGGGGGAUGAUGGGAAUGGCGAAGACGACGGAGA
ensembl:ncRNA Y54G2A.66 ncRNA